rnacentral:rRNA from 1 species
UACGUAGGGGGCUAGCGUUGUCCGGAAUUAUUGGGCGUAAAGAGCGUGUAGGCGGUCCGGUAAGUCCGCUGUGAAAGUCGGGGGCUCAACCCUCGAAUGCCGGUGGAUACUGUCGGGCUAGAGUGCGGAAGAGGCGAGUGGAAUUCCUGGUGUAGCGGUGAAAUGCGCAGAUAUCAGGAGGAACACCUAUUGCGAAGGCAGCUCGCUGGGACGUUACUGACGCUGAGACGCGAAAGCGUGGGGAGCAAACAGG